rnacentral:rRNA from 1 species
UACGAAGGGGGCUAGCGUUGCUCGGAAUCACUGGGCGUAAAGGGUGCGUAGGCGGGUCUUUAAGUCAGGGGGGAAAUCCUGGAGCUCAACUCCAGAACUGCCUUUGAUACUGAGGAUCUUGAGUCCGGGAGAGGUGAGUGGAACUGCGAGUGUAGAGGUGAAAUUCGUAGAUAUUCGCAAGAACACCAGUGGCGAAGGCGGCUCACUGGCCCGGUACUGACGCUGAGGCACGAAAGCGUGGGGAGCAAACAGG